rnacentral:lncRNA from 1 species
CCAGGGUCAGUUCCAGGGUCAGUUCCAGGGUCAGUUCCAGGGUCAGUUCCAGGGUCAGUUCCAGGGUCAGGGUAUGUUCCAGGGUCAGUUCCAGUUCCAGGGUCUUAUCCAGGGUCAGUUCCAGUUCCAGGAUCAGUUCCAGGGUCAGUUCCAGGGUCAGUUCCAGUUUCAGGGUCAGUUCCAGGUUCAGAUCCAGUUCCAGGGUCAGUUCCAGGGUCAGUUCCAGGAUCAUUUCUAGUUCCAUGGUCAGUUCCAGUUUCAGUUCCAGGAUCAGUUCCAGGGUCAGUUCCAGUGUCAGUUCCAGGAUCAGUUCCAGGGUCAGUUCCAGGGUCAGUUCCAGUUCCAGGGUCAGUUCCAGUUCCAGGGUCAGUUCCAGGGUCAGUUCCAGGGUCAGUUCCAGUUCCAGGGUCAGUUCCAGGGUCAGAUCCAGUUCCAGGGUCAGUUCCAGGGUCAGUUCCAGGAUCAUUUCUUGUUCCAGGGUCAGUUCCAGGUCAGUUCCAGGGUGAGUUCCAGUUUCAGGGUCAGUUCCGGUGUCAGAUCCAGUUCCAGGAUCAGUUCCAGGGUCAGUUCCAGGAUCAUGUCUUGUUCCAGGGUCAGUUCCAGGGUCAGUUUCAGGGUCAGUUCCAUGGUCAGUUCCAGUUUCAGUUCCAGGGUCAGUUCCAGGGUCAGUUCCAGGGUCAUUUCUUGUUCCAGUGUCAGUUCCAGGGUCAGUUCCAGGGUCAGUUCCAGGAUCAUUUCUUGUUCCAGGGUCAGUACCAGGGUCAGUUCCAGGGUCAGUUCCAGGGUCAGUUCCAGAAUCAGUUCCAGGGUCAGUUCCAGGGUCAGUUCCAGUUUCAGGGUGAGUUCCAGGAUCAGUUCCAGGAUCAGUUCCAGGGUCAGUUCCAGGAUCAUUUCCAGGAUCAGUUCCAGUUCCAGGGUCAGUUCCAGGACCAGUUCCAGGAUCAGUUCCAGUUCCAGGGUCAGUUCCAGGGUCAGUUCCAGGAUCAGUUCCAGGGUUCCAGGAUCAGAUAAUUCAUAAAUAUCCAAAUAACUUCACACAUCUUCAUUGACGGUAGGCAAUUAAGGUCACAGGUAUGAAAACGUAGGACACUAAAGAGGCCUUUCUACUGACUCUGAAAAACACCAAAAGAAAGAUGCCCAGGGUCCCUGCUCAUCUGCGUGAACAUUCCUUAGGCAUGCUGCAAGGAGGCAUGAGGACUGUAGAUGUGGCCAGGGCAAUAAAUUGCAAUGUCUGUACUGUGAGACGCCUAAGACAGUGCUACAGGGAGACAGGACGGACAGCUGAUCGUCCUCGCAGUGGCAGACCACAUGUAACAACACAUGCACAGGAUCGGUACAUCCGAAUAUCACACCUGCGAGACAGGUACAGGAUGGCACCAACAACUGCACGAGUUACACCAGGAACACACAAUCCCUCCAUCAGUGCUCAGACUGUCCACAAUAGGCUGAGAGAGGCUGAACUGGGGGCUUGUAGGCCUGUUGUAAGGCAGGUCCUCACUACACAUCACCGGCAACAACGUCGCCUAUGGGCACAAACCCACACUUUUAAAAAAACUGAAUAAAAGUGCUCAAAAUAGCCCAUGUUAGCGUAUGUAGCUUAAGAAACAAGGUUAAUGAAAUGAAUAACUUGCUAGUAACAAAUGACAUUCAUAUUCUGACCAUCUCUGAAACUCACUAAGACAAUACCUUUGAUGAUACUGUGGUAGCAAUGCAAUGUUAUACAGAAAAGAUGGAAAUGUCAGUGGUGUUUAUAUUUAGAACCACAUUCCUGUAAAGAUUAGAGAGGAUCUCAUGUUAAAUCCUAUUGAAGUAAUAUGGCUACAGGUUCAUAUGCCUCACCUAAAGCCCAUUCUUGUGGGAAUCUGCUAUAGACAUUAUUUAUUUAGAAAUGUAUUUAUAAAACCCUCCUAGGGCUCACUCCCCCCAUCUGAGAUGUCUACUGCAGCCCUCAUCCUCCACAUACAACACCCAUUCUGCCAGUCACAUUCCAAAGCAUAUCCCUGGGUUGCUCGUCUUUUCAGUUUACUGGAGCUAGUGACUGGAACGAGCUGCAACAAACUCUCAAACUGGACAGUUUUAUCUCAAUCUCUUCAUUCAAAGAUUCAGUCAUGGACACUCUUACUGACAGUUGUGGCUGCUUUGCGUGAUGUACAGUUGUUGCUCCUUUAAAAGUUGUGUCAUACUGCAGCACACCGUGCGGGCUGCUGCAGCAAUCUGUGGCACAUUAUCUAAUUGUCAGCCAUUUUUUCUGUUAAUGCAAGUUAGUCCUAGUUUGACCACCAGAGGGCAUCUUUGAGAAGCAUUUGAUAGUCUUCCAUAUUGGCAUUACCAGAGAAUGUAAAACCUUUUUUGUAAUAACAUAGUAUAUGGGAUUGAUUUUAAGAAUUUUGGCUUAAUUAAUUUGAUUAAUACACUGCUCAAAAAAAUAAAGGGACACUUAAACAACACAUCCUAGAUCUGAAUGAAAGAAAUAAUUUUAUUAAAUACUUUUUUCUUUACAUAGUUGAAUGUGCUGACAACAAAAUCACACAAAAAUAAUCAAUGGAAAUCCAAUUUAUCAACCCAUGGAGGUCUGGAUUUGGAGUCACACUCAAAAUUAAAGUGGAAAACCACACUACAGGCUGAUCCAACUUUGAUGUAAUGUCCUUAAAACAAGUCAAAAUGAGGCUCAGUAGUGUGUGUGGCCUCCAAGUGCCUUUAUGACCUCCCUACAAUGCCUGGGCAUGCUCCUGAUGAGGUGGCGGAUGGUCUCCUGAGGGAUCUCCUCCCAGACCUGGACUAAUGCAUCCACCAACUCCUGGACAGUCUGUGGUGAAACGUAGCGUUGGUGGAUGGAGCGAGACAUGAGGUCCCAGAUGUGCUCAAUUGGAUUCAGGUCUGGGGAACGGGCGGGCCAGUCCAUAGCAUCAAUGCCUUCCUCUUGCAGGAACUGCUGACACACUCCAGCCACAUGAGGUCUAGCAUUGUCUUGCAUUAGGAGGAACCCAGGGCCAACCGCACCAGCAUAUGGUCUCACAAGGGGUCUGAGGAUCUCAUCUCGGUACCUAAUGGCAGUCAGGCUACCUCUGGCGAGCACAUGGAGGGCUGUGCGGCCCCCCAAGGAAAUGCCACCCCACACCAUGACUGACCCACCGCCAAACCAGUCAUGCUGGAGGAUGUUGCAGGCAGCAGAACGUUCUCCACGGCGUCUCCAGACUCUGUCACAUCUGUCACGUGCUCUGUGUGAACCUGCUUUCAUCUGUGAAGAGCACAGGGCGCCAGUGGCGAAUUUGCCAAUCUUGGUGUUCUCUGGCAAAUGCCAAACGUUCUGCACGGUGUUGGGCUGUAAGCACAACCCUCACCUGUGGACGUCGGGCCCUCAUACCACCCUCAUGGAGUCUGUUUCUGACCGUUUGAGCAGACAGAUGCACAUUUGUGGCCUGCUGGAGGUCAUUUUGCAGGGCUCUGGCAGUGCUCCUCCUGCUCCUCCUUGCACAAAGGCGGAGGUAGCGGUCCUGCUGCUGGGUUGUUGCCCUCCUACGGCCUCCUCCACGUCUCCUGAUGUACUGGCCUGUCUCCUGGUAGCGCCUCCAUGCUCUGGACACUACGCUGACAGACACAGCAAACCUUCUUGCCACAGCUCGCAUUGAUGUGCCAUCCUGGAUGAGCUGCACUACCUGAGCCACUUGUAUGGGUUGUAGACUCCGUCUCAUGCUACCACUAGAGUGAAAGCACCGCCAGCAUUCAAAAGUGACCAAAACAUCAGCCAGGAAGCAUAGGAAUUGAGAAGUGGUCUAUGGUCACCACCUGCAGAACCACUCCUUUAUUGGGGGUGUCUUGCUUAUUGCCUAUAAUU